CUCCCAUCAUGAUGAUAAUGGACUGAACCUCUAAAACUAUGGAAGAUCUAGUUCUUACUUUGAAAACUGCCUGUGGGAGCCAUGAUCAGUGCUGACCAAAGCAACAGACACAAAAGAAACUUUAAUGAAGACCCAUUUCAUCCAUUUUUGUCCUACAAAUGUCACACGUUUUCCAGACGAGCAGUCCAUCUUCCCUGGAAAACCUGCAGCCCCGGGGUAAUCAAGACAGACGACCAUCCUGAACGCACAUUGAAGUGUUUAAUGAGGCCAAACUCAGCCACUCUGGGGCUCCUGCUGACUUUUCCCCUUCUUGUGGUUUGUUCUUCUUGCCAGCAGAUUUCCCUGGCUUUAUUCAAAUCCUAGUCAUAAUUCAAGAGCUACGUUCAGAAUGCUCUCCCUAUCUCCAAGGCUUGGUGGCAAUAUUAGCUGUAUUAAUACCA